UAAUACGGAGGGUGCAAGCGUUAUCCGGAUUCACUGGGUUUAAAGGGUGCGUAGGCGGAUAGGUAAGUCCGUGGUGAAAUCCUGCAGCUUAACUGCAGAACUGCCAUGGAUACUAUUUAUCUUGAAUAUCGUGGAGGUUAGCGGAAUAUGUCAUGUAGCGGUGAAAUGCUUAGAUAUGACAUAGAACACCCAUUGCGAAGGCAGCUAACUACGCGAUCAUUGACGCUGAUGCACGAAAGCGUGGGGAUCAAACAGGAUUAGAUACCCUGGUAGUCCACGCCCUAAACGAUGAUUACUCGACAUUGGUGAUACACAGUCAGUGUCUGAGCGAAAGCAUUAAGUAAUCCACCUGGGAAGUACGAUCGCAAGAUU
rnacentral:rRNA from 1 species